UACUGGAGCUGUUGUAGGUAAUGGUGAUGAUUUCAGGGAUUGAUAUGGUUAUAGCAGCGAUGGUGAUUGGUUUCAUGGAGAUGAUGAUGAUUGCGGGGAUUUAUGAGGAUGAUAUUGGGGAUUCACAAAAUGCUGACUGUACUGUACUGGAUCUGUUUAAGCUGAUUGCCUCACAUGGCUGCCCUGGAUUGGAGGACUGUAGCUGUAGAUUGCCGUCGGGUACAGUUGUACCAAGUUUAGGUGGACUCUGGGAGGAGAUGACCUUGCAUUGCUGUAUUGGAGCUGUUGUAACUGAAUACCUCGAAAGGCAGUACUGUAUUGGAGGGAGGUGACUGCAGUUAUAAGGUUUAGGAAUGGGGGAAGUUGUUUCUGCAAGUCUGCUCCUGUACAAUCAAAGGCGACCUGGAGAGCUCCAGGCUAUUGGAUUGACACACUACAAAGAGUGACAAGAGGGGGAAGAUGUCCAGCGUUUGAUUGGAGAUUGUACAACAUUUGAAAGGAAACUGUUAGAGAACCAGGUGGUUAUCACAGUGUGAGGAAAGACCAGAAGAGGAGUACCUAUUAUAAUUCCAGCAGAUGCAAGGAAACCGACUGACUACCUCAUAAAUGAAGGGGUUAGAAGAGAUGCAGGGAUCCUGGAAAAGAAUACUUUGUGUUUGCCUGAAAAGGUCUUUGAUCCAAAACCAAAUGAAAUGGAAUGGGUUAUCAAUCAUAUGGGCCACUCACUUGACAAUCAUUAGAUACAUUACAGUGCACAGAUGAUGUCUUAGAAAAAACACAAAUAGCCAAGAUACUACUGCUACAAGACCGUGUGGGAGAGUUUCGGACAAAUCCUUACAAGACAUCCAAAUAGAAGACCUUAUCCAGGAGUCAUCAUUCGCUGAACUGGAUGAAUUUGAGGAUUUACACAAUAUGACAUCACCUGACAUUGUAGAUGCCAUUGAGCCAUGUGAUUUUUCUGUGUUAGAUUAUCGCUGAAAAAUUUGAUGAUGAAUACAUAUCCUAGCUCAUAAAAAAACGAAAGUCUGCUGCUCUUCAAGAAACAAAAAUACGGCCAACACCACAUCAAUGUGGGAAAGCAAUUGACCUAAGCAGGGUUAAUGAUGGAAAAAUUUGGAAAAGAAAGAAAUUGAAGAUGUACUGGGAAAAAAACUCUUCUGAAUUGUGGAUAAACUGAAUGCAGGUCGGAAACCUAAAACUGUUUCAUGCUAUUUCUGCUGUUCAAAUUUGUAGAAAAGGUGAUUGUGGGUCAGAAACCGACAAUAAAUAGAUGUUCUUUUCAUCAUUGGGGAGCAGUUUGUAGACAAUGGAUUGAUCCAAGUUCUAAUGUGAAAUAAUUUAUUACCAACUUUUUAUUAACAUUGUCAAACAUGAUUCUUUAUGUUGUUAAUACUUGUUUUGACCACUUGUUUUAUAUCAUAAUUUUUAACAUCUUGUGCAUCCGUUGUCAUCCCUUCAUGCAACAGGAAUGAACUGGGAUCAAGGUGUGUAUAUAUAUCAUAGUACAGUUUUGUAUAGAAAUUCUGGAUUAGUAUUUUGUAUAUAUUUAUAAUGUACAGCACCAGUUUGUGGAGAAGUUUUAUACACACAAAAAAAAAAAACAACAUUCAAGGGAGUUGAUUUUAUUUUUCAAGUUGUUGAUACCAAAAAUAUUUUUAAACAGCAAGAAAGAGCAAAUGCAGAUGGUAUCUUGUAUGAAUUUAGUCUCUUGAUGAAAAAUCACUUACCAGCAUUGAAACAGUGAUUAGUUUUUAAUCAAAAGGAAGAAAAAUGUGCCAAUACUAAUUGUAGAUAACGAAUACAAUAUUUCCAUUGACUUGACCAAGGAUGGAUGAAUUUCUAAGUUUGCAGUAUAUCAAUAUGCCCAGUAUGUAAAAUUCCUGUCAAGAAUGUUUGAUAAAAUGAAUGACCUCGACCCAUUUUCAAGGUCACAGGUAUAAAUGUUUAAUAAUCUUUAAAUGAUUUCUUCUCAAUAUCCCAAAAGUUCUGAUAACCGGCCCAUAGUAUGCUGGAAUGAAUUACCAAGUAUGUUCAUGUUAUCUAUAUUUUCACUUUUUAAAGGUCAAAAGGGUCAAAUUUGUUAAAACCUUUAAUGACUUCUUGUCAAUAACAAAAAGGUCAAGGCUGUUGAAAUUGGUUUUUCAAUGUUUGUGGAUGAAGACAAUCGUUUUCAAGUAAUUGACCUUGACCUAUGUUAAAGAUCUCUUGGGUUAAGUGAGUUGAGAUUUAAUUUUUUUUUUCAAUAAGCAAUAGGUUCGGAAUAAUGGCAUUUGUGUAGUAGCAUGUAUAAAGAAUAUGAUUUUAAGUUUGCAGAAAAUGUUUUUAUGACCAAACAGUAUCUUUGUAUGCUGUAGAGUAGUUGAGCAGUUUAUCUUAGGCUUAUUUGUCCUCUUUCAUACAUACCGGGUAGAUCUUUAUAUUCAGAUGACUUAAGGCCCCUGGGGGUCCUGUUUAUGAAACAUUGGCUGGGUAAUUAUUACUUUAAUUAAACAGCAUUUCAUACUAGAUAGUAAAGAGUUGUAAAGAAUUUCUUGCAUUUUGCCCAUCUGUUGUAAAACAAUACACAUUUUUUACUUCUUUUGAAAACCCCUGAGCCAAUUUUAAUGAAAUUUGGUAGAUAUUUUCAUGGCCAAUGGAAUGAAGUACAAUGUCUCUGACCUAGGAGACUGGGACGGUGUCGAAAUGAAUCAAAUUUUCGAAAAUCUCAACACACAGAUGUGGAAGAAUCAAAUACUUUUCAUAGAUGGAAGAGUUUUUGAGAUGCUUUAACCCAAAUUAUAAAUUUCAUGAUCCUUGCAUUUUCGCUUGGGGAGGGGUAUUAAGUCAGAAGCUUAUAUAGAAUUUUUUUUCUCUCUAAUUCAAAAUCUAUUAGAAUCCAUAAUAUAGGAUGACAGUUAACUAUGUUAACAAGAUGAUUUAUGUGAUGUAUAUAACACAAACAAUGUUUAUGGAAUUCAGGUGACUGUUAAGACCAUUGGGCAAAAUCUUUUGUCAAGACACUAUCAUGCAGUGUUGAAAUUUUGGUUGAAGAAUUAGAAGAUUUGAUAUGAGUAUGGUUGCUACCAAAUAGUUCUACCUUUUUUAAAAUUCUUUUAUGGUGUCCAGAUCUGGAAAAGUAAGUUUUCAAUUUUCGUCAUUUUUAGAUCAUCUGCAAGGUUUUGUAGUUAGAUGACCUUAUGGCCCAUGGGUCUCUUGUUUAUAAUGAAAAUUUGAAUUUACAAUUAUGUAAGAAUACCUUUGUUUAUGUGUAUUCAUGAGUGUAAUUUCAUCUUCAUGUUCACACUCUGAACCUGUUUUGUAUUAUUGAAACAACCAAAGUGUUAUUUUCUUUGUAUCAUGAUUA